rnacentral:rRNA from 1 species
UACGAAGGGGGCUAGCGUUGCUCGGAUUUACUGGGCGUAAAGGGCGCGUAGGCGGACAGUUAAGUCAGAGGUGAAAGCCCAGGGCUCAACCCUGGAAUUGCCUUUGAUACUGGCUGUCUUGAGUGCGGGAGAGGUGUGUGGAACUCCGAGUGUAGAGGUGAAAUUCGUAGAUAUUCGGAAGAACACCAGUGGCGAAGGCGACACACUGGCCCGUAACUGACGCUGAGGAGCGAAAGCAUGGGGAGCGAACAGG